CUUCACCGCACCCAGCCACAACGGACGCUCAGCACUGUGCGCCCGACCAUACGUCGCCAGAAGAGCCUGGGCCUC
rfam:Streptomyces sp. CNQ-509, complete genome.